rnacentral:rRNA from 1 species
UAAGUGACUAAGCGUACAAGGUGGAUGCCUUGGCAAUCAGAGGCGAAGAAGGACGUGCUAAUCUGCGAAAAGCUUGGAUGAGUCGAUAAGAGGCGCUUAAUCCAAGAUAUCCGAAUGGGGAAACCCAGUAGAUGAAGAAUCUACUAUCAACAAGUGAAUUCAUAGCUUGUUGAGGCAAACCGGGAGAACUGAAACAUCUAAGUACCCCGAGGAAAAGAAAUCAACCGAGAUUUCGUCAGUAGCGGCGAGCGAAAGCGAAAGAGCCAGUAAGUGAUAGCAGUAUAGUGAGGAGAAUGUGUUGGGAAGCACAAUCAAAGAGGGUGAUAAUCCCGUAUCUAAAAACCAUAUUGUGGUACUAAGCUAACGAGAAGUAGGGCGGGACACGUGAUAUCCUGUUUGAAGAAGGGGGGACCAUCCUCCAAGGCUAAAUACUCCUGAUUGACCGAUAGUGAACCAGUACUGUGAAGGAAAGGCGAAAAGAACCCCGGUGAGGGGAGUGAAAUAGAACCUGAAACCUUGUACGUACAAGCAGUGGGAGCCCCAUCACUUAAUCCGAUUGGAAGGUGAUGAAAAGCAACCGCACUUAAACAAUGGUAAGAGGAGCGAAGCGAGUCAAACCACCCAAAAGAAGCAGUGGGAUUAAGUGAUGGGGUGACUGCGUACCUUUUGUAUAAUGGGUCAGCGACUUAUAUUUUGUAGCGAGGUUAACUGAAUAGGGGAGCCGAAGGGAAACCGAGUCUUAACUGGGCGAGUAGUUGCAAGGUAUAGACCCGAAACCCGGUGAUCUAGCCAUGGGCAGGUUGAAGGUUGGGUAACACUAACUGGAGGACCGAACCGACUAAUGUUGAAAAAUUAGCGGAUGACUUGUGGCUGGGGGUGAAAGGCCAAUCAAACCGGGAGAUAGCUGGUUCUCCCCGAAAUCUAUUUAGGUAGAGCCUUGAGGUGACACCUUUGGGGGUAGAGCACUGUUUCGGCUAGGGGGCCAUCCCGGCUUACCAACCCGAUGCAAACUACGAAUACCAAAGAGUGAUACUCAGGAGACACACGGCGGGUGCUAACGUCCGUCGUGGAGAGGGAAACAACCCAGACCGCCAGCUAAGGUCCCCAAGUCUAUAUUAAGUGGGAAACGAAGUGGGAAGGCUUAGACAGCUAGGAUGUUGGCUUAGAAGCAGCCAUCAUUUAAAGAAAGCGUAAUAGCUCACUAGUCGAGUCGGCCUGCGCGGAAGAUGUAACGGGGCUGAAAUAUAGCACCGAAGCUGCGGCAUCAGAAUUUAUUCUGUUGGGUAGGGGAGCGUUCUGUAAGCGGAUGAAGGUGGCUCGAGAGGGCUGCUGGACGUAUCAGAAGUGCGAAUGCUGACAUAAGUAACGAUAAAACGGGUGAAAAACCCGUUCGCCGGAAGACCAAGGGUUCCUGUCCAACGUUAAUCGGGGCAGGGUGAGUCGGCUCCUAAGGCGAGGCUGAAAAGCGUAGUCGAUGGGAAACAGGUUAAUAUUCCUGUACUUGGUAAAGCUGCGAUGUGGGGACGGAGUAGGUUAGGUUAUCGCACUGUUGGAUAUGUGCGUUUAAGUUGGUAGGUGGGAAGUUUAGGCAAAUCCGGGCUUCCUUAACACAGAGAGAUGAUGACGAGGCUCUACGGAGCUGAAGUAACUGAUACCACACUUCCAGGAAAAGCCACUAAGCGAAAGGCUUUACUAAACCGUACUGAAAACCGACACAGGUGGUCAGGUAGAGAAUACUCAGGCGCUUGAGAGAACUCGGGUGAAGGAACUAGGCAAAAUAGCACCGUAACUUCGGGAGAAGGUGCGCCGGCGUAGAUUGUAAGGGCUAGCCCCUGAAGGUUGAACCGGUCGAAGAUACCAGCUGGCUGCAACUGUUUAUUAAAAACACAGCACUCUGCAAACACGAAAGUGGACGUAUAGGGUGUGAUGCCUGCCCGGUGCUGGAAGGUUAAUUGAUGGUGUAAUCGCAAGAGAAGCACCUGAUCGAAGCCCCAGUAAACGGCGGCCGUAACUAUAACGGUCCUAAGGUAGCGAAAUUCCUUGUCGGGUAAGUUCCGACCUGCACGAAUGGCAUAAUGAUGGCCAGGCUGUCUCCACCCGAGACUCAGUGAAAUUGAAAUCGCCGUGAAGAUGCGGUGUACCCGCGGCUAGACGGAAAGACCCCGUGAACCUUUACUAUAGCUUGACACUGAACAUUGAAUUUUGAUGUGUAGGAUAGGUGGGAGACUUAGAAGUAGUCACGCCAGUGAUUAUGGAGUCGACCUUGAAAUACCACCCUUUAACGUUUGAUGUUCUAACGAAGAUGACGAAACGUGGUCUCGGACAGUGUCUGGUGGGUAGUUUGACUGGGGCGGUCUCCUCCCAAAGCGUAACGGAGGAGCACGAAGGUUUGCUAAUCACGGUCGGACAUCGUGAGGUUAGUGCAAUGGUAUAAGCAAGCUUAACUGCGAGACAGACAAGUCGAGCAGGUACGAAAGUAGGUCAUAGUGAUCCGGUGGUUCUGAAUGGAAGGGCCAUCGCUCAACGGAUAAAAGGUACUCCGGGGAUAACAGGCUGAUACCGCCCAAGAGUUCAUAUCGACGGCGGUGUUUGGCACCUCGAUGUCGGCUCAUCACAUCCUGGGGCUGAAGUAGGUCCCAAGGGUAUGGCUGUUCGCCAUUUAAAGUGGUACGCGAGCUGGGUUUAGAACGUCGUGAGACAGUUCGGUCCCUAUCUGCCGUGGGCGUAGGAGAAUUGGUUGGGGCUGCUCCUAGUACGAGAGGACCGGAGUGGACGCACCACUGGUGUUCCGGUUGUGUCGCCAGACGCAUUGCCGGGUAGCUAAGUGCGGAAGAGAUAAGUGCUGAAAGCAUCUAAGCACGAAACUUGCCAAGAGAUGAGUUCUCCCAAUCAAAGAGAUUGUAAGGGUUGUUGUAGACUACGACGUAGAUAGGUCUGGUGUGUAAGUGUAGUGAUGCAUUGAGCUAACAGAUACUAAUUGCCCGAGAGGCUUAACUA